UACGGGGGGAGCAAGCGUUGUUCGGAUUUACUGGGCGUAAAGGGCGCGUAGGCGGCCAGCACAAGUCAGUUGUGAAAUCUCCGGGCUUAACCCGGAAAGGUCAGCCGAUACUGCGGGGCUAGAGUGCAGAAGGGGCAACUGGAAUUCUCGGUGUAGCGGUGAAAUGCGUAGAUAUCGAGAGGAACACCUGCGGCGAAGGCGGGUUGCUGGGCUGACACUGACGCUGAAGCGCGAAAGCUAGGGGAGCGAACGGG
rnacentral:rRNA from 1 species